rnacentral:rRNA from 1 species
CCUAUGGGGGGCAGCAGGCGCGAAAACUUUACCAUGCGGGCAACCGUGAUAAGGAAACCCCGAGUGCCAGCACAGGCUGGCUGUCCACCAGUGUAAAUAACUGGUGAAGAAAGGGCCGGGCAAGACCGGUGCCAGCCGCCGCGGUAAUACCGGCGGCUCGAGUGGUGGCCACUAUUACUGGGCUUAAAGGGUCCGUAGCUUGAUAUGCAAGUCUUUUGAGAAAUCCGCCGGCUUAACUGGUGGGCGUUCAGGGGAAACUGCAUUUCUAGGGACCGGGAGAGGUGAGAGGUACUGCCGGGGUAGGAGUGAAAUCCUGUAAUCCCGGUGGGACCACCUAUGGCGAAGGCAUCUCACCAGAACGGGUCCGACAGUGAGGGACGAAAGCUGGGGGAGCAAACCGGAUUAGAUACCCCCGUAGUCC